rnacentral:rRNA from 1 species
UGCAGAAUCCCGCGAACCAUCGAGUCUUUGAACGCAAGUUGCGCCCGAGGCCACCUGGCCGAGGGCACGCCUGCCUGGGCGUCACGCCAAAUACGCUCCCACCCCCUCAUCGGGAGUGGGAUGCGGCAUGUGGCCCCCCGUCUCGCAAGGGGCGGUGGGCCGAAGAUGCGGCUGCCGGCGUAUCGUGUCGGACACAGCGCGUGGUGGGCGACCUCGCUUUACUUACCGCAGUGCAUCCGGCCCGUAGCCGACGUGAUGGCCUUGAAGGACCCUGUAAACGGAGCGCAUGACGCUUCGACCGCGACCCCAGGUCAGGCGGGACUACCCGCUGAGUUUAAGCAUAUAAAUAAGCGGAGGAGAAGAAACUUACAAGGAUUCCCCUAGUAACGGCGAGCGAACCGGGAUCAGCCCAGCUUGAGAAUCGGGCGGCCGUGCCGUCCGA